rnacentral:rRNA from 1 species
GACGAACGCUGGCGGCGUGCCUAAUACAUGCAAGUAGAACGCUGAAGGAGGAGCUUGCUCUUCUGGAUGAGUUGCGAACGGGUGAGUAACGCGUAGGUAACCUGCCUGGUAGCGGGGGAUAACUAUUGGAAACGAUAGCUAAUACCGCAUAACAGUAGAUGUUGCAUGACAUUUGCUUAAAAGGUGCAAUUGCACCACUACCAGAUGGACCUGCGUUGUAUUAGCUAGUUGGUGGGGUAACGGCUCACCAAGGCGACGAUACGUAGCCGACCUGAGAGGGUGAUCGGCCACACUGGGACUGAGACACGGCCCAGACUCCUACGGGAGGCAGCAGUAGGGAAUCUUCGGCAAUGGACGGAAGUCUGACCGAGCAACGCCGCGUGAGUGAAGAAGGUUUUCGGAUCGUAAAGCUCUGUUGUAAGAGAAGAACGAGUGUGAGAGUGGAAAGUUCACACUGUGACGGUAUCUUACCAGAAAGGGACGGCUAACUACGUG